rnacentral:rRNA from 1 species
UACGGGGGGGGCGAGCGUUGUUCGGAAUUACUGGGCGUAAAGGGUUUGUAGGUGGUCUGCUAAGUCAGACGUGAAAUCCCUCAGCUUAACUGGGGAACUGCGUCUGAUACUGGCGGACUUGAGGACAGGAGAGGGACGCGGAAUUCCAGGUGUAGCGGUGAAAUGCGUAGAUAUCUGGAGGAACACCGGUGGCGAAGGCGGCAUCCUGGACCGGCAUUGACGCUGAGGCGCGAAAGCCAGGGGAGCAAACGGG